UUAAUUCAAUCCAGAUGAUAAGCCAGUAUUAAGUAUGAAAAGUUGAUGAUGCAUAUGAAGAAAGUGAAUGCUCGAUACACUAAGACCAUAAGUUGUUUAUCCCUCUGCCUCUUCCACACUAUUGCUUUUGUGCUUUGGUGUAAAGGUGAAUCGCUCAGGAGUAGGACCUAGGAAGAACUCACUCAAUUUAACCCAGUCCGUAACUUUAUUACUGGCCAAGAGAGUUUCCAUCUCAUCUCUCGCGGUAUAUAGAGGCGGUCUAUCAUUUAAUCUGGGCCUUUGAACUUCGUACAAAGCUAUAGGUGUAUAACGAUGGAAAAAGCUCAUAAACUCCAAGAAAAAUCUCCUAGUCGUAUUGACUCCUUGAGAGUCAGAACCCCAAUACUCUAAACCAUUAUUACAGUAUUGUUCCAACAUUUCGAGUCGUUGAGUUGAUGACUUAUCAAUAAACUGACGAGCUUCAAUUUCUUCAAAAAUCCAUGGCUUAACGAGUGCACCUCGGGCAAUCAUCACAGUAUCAACACCCUUGUUAACACCAUCAUACCAAUCCUGCCAUGAAUAACAGUCUCCAUUUCCAAUCAGCGAAAGAGGUUGGGUACGCAAGGAGUCCUCAGGAAGUUCAUCUAUUCUCUCAUUCAUACUUUUUACUUUAGAAGCAAUUUCACCAAUAUAAUCCCAAUUUGCGUUUUUACUAUAUCGCUGUUGGCGAGAUCUUCCAUGUAAUGUAGCAGCUGAAGUGUUUGUUUCGUUGAAAAUUCUACCAAUUAAAUUUUUGACAACUGGGUGGUCGUCUUUGUUUCCCAUACGAAGUUUUACGGUGACAGGAAUUUGGCCAGAUACCGCAUCCAUACCUUGGAGAUUACGAAGUAACCUGCCAGGAUUCUCGAGAAGAGAAGAACCGGCGCCUUGACGAAAUACCAAAUCUAUAGGGCAACCGCAAUUUAAAUCGAGAAAAUCAACGCCAUCACAUUGUUCAGCUAUUACUUGUGCAGUUUUAGUGGCCUGCCAAAGUUUUCCGGUAGCUAGUUGGACCCCUAAUAUACCACGACGACCACCUCGCAUCAUUUCACGCUCAUAGUUUAGCCCACGAACAAGAGCCCACUCAGGUUGAUGACCUUGCAUAAGUGGAUAACACAUCGCCAUUUCGGAGUAAAACGUAUCAGCACCCAGAGAGCCACAAAGACGACGAAAAGGUGGAUUUCCAACGGUGGUAAGAGGAGCUAGAAUCUUUCUGUCUCGCCAGUCAAUGAGAUUUUUUUCUUGAGGCCGUAAAGUAGGUAAAGCGAUGUUUGACCGAGCUUGUGAAGAGAUUUCUUUUAAAUCGACAUUGACCGAGACGGUUUGAUUUUUUAACACCCCAGUUUCUUCCAGUGAAACAGAUUCUGUCUCUUUUCCUUCGGAAAUAGCACUAGUGGCAUCUCUAUUUUCCUCAGGAAUAUUGGAUACUUUUGAAGAAGGGUCGGGCUUUUCUUCACCUAAAACUGCGGAUAUAAUACUUUCAGCCUUUGAUAGAUCUAACUGUUUUGUUCUUAGCUUUCUCUGUACCUCUUUUCCAACAGUAUUUACGGUAAAAAGCGUAAACUGCCCAUCGGGUUUUUUUAUAAGCUCGUACUUUCCGUCUGCAUUGAUAACAACAUGGCCCGCUAGCCAGCGACAUUUGAAACCAGCUGGGCAUACUCCAUACCGCUCGAAUAUAGGGCAUUUGUCUCCAAUGUCAGGUGCCUUGGUAGCAAGGUAAGCCUCCACAUCGUGUGGGAAUUUGCAGUUUUCUUUAUAUGGACACUCAUUCCCAAUAGAUAUAGCUGGACAAAGAGCGUUGUUCUCUUUUACGUGAAUUUUUUCUCUCCGUUUAUUUUGACCCCUCUCUUUACGCUUUCGUUUUUUAUUUCCAUCUUGUUUCACCAAAAAUCUAAGGUAUAGUUAGUAAUUGACUAUUGAAAGCGAGGUUCAAGCAUACUCUUCCCGAAUAGGAACCGCUCCAGUCUCCAAUUCUGCCAUUAAGUACCCAAAAAUCCGAUUUCCCUUGAAUUUAGUAGUUUGCUUUAUGCAAACUGCAUAUUUUCUCUAGAUUCUGUGCGCGUCUGUGAAAAUAAGAUACGACGUAGCAGUGCAAUAUUCAAAAUUAACGGUUUACAUGAUAGAUUCGAAAAGCAAUCAUAUUGCCUAAUAGAUAAAAAAAAACUCUAAAACUGCAUAGUAAUAUUAACGCUAUAUGCUUUUAGGUACACAGUUAUGUUUUGUAAAACGUAACAAUGGCUGUAACUGUCUAUUGAAAUUAGAAAUGUAUAAAUCUUAAAGACGUUUAGAAUGCACACUUUUGAGAUGCUGCUAUUCAUUGAGUUGUAUAUUCUUCAGAUGCCAAGAUAUUACUAAGUUAAAUUUAAACUGCUUUGUACUGAUGACCAUAAUUCUUCAUAUUAUGUACCUGUAUAUUUACACAUAAACAGGAAAUGCUAGUAGUUACACGUUUCGGAUUUCUUUUAUACUAAGGUAGAUCUAAUAAUGGAGCUUCAAUGAUUAAGCAAGUAGCUCUAUGCUUCCGAAGAGUCAGGACGGUGGUCUAAUAAUUAAGCUGUUGGUGAAUUCUUAUGUUUAGAAUUAGGCAUCUGAACUUUAAUAAAAAGAAUUAAGAAAUAAUAUUUGGUUUAAC